UAUAGUAUUAUUUUGUUAUUACAGGAAGGAGAUACUGCUCUUAUUGUAUCAGCAAGAGGAGGAGACUAUGAGACUGUAAAAGUACUGCUGGAUAAUGGAGCUGAUCCAAACAUACGCAUGGACCCAGGCUAUAUAGAUUAUGGUACUACAGCACUGAUGGCAGCAGUAAACAACAAACAUCAUCAUGUAGUGGAACUUUUAUUAACCAAAGGAGCUGAUCCAAACAGAAUGGAUAAUAAAGGAGAUAUUGCUCUUAUUGUAUUAGCAAGAAGAGGAGACCAUGAGACUGUAAAAGUACUGCUGGAUAAUGGAGCUGAUCCAAACAUAGGCCAAGAAUGG